rnacentral:lncRNA from 1 species
UCCUCUUUUUAGUCUUGGAUUUUCGUACUACUCACUCUCUUUUCUCUCUCCUGCUGUACUUUGUACGUUACAAUUCUUUGGGGCCAGAAAUCUUGAACAUGGUAACGCACCUGUCUUUUCUCUACUCAUUUUUUGUCUUAAUUUUAUUUCAUUUUACAAUUCUAUUAUUUAUGUAGAUUUUGAUUCGAUUCGAUUCGAUUUGUUUAAAAUCACUAGUAUUCAUGGCUAAUUUAUGUUCUUCCAAUCAGUUUUGGUGAUUUAUUGGUAAUUUUGAUAUGUUCAUCUUUUCGGAUUGUCCGUUUCGAUUGUGUUUUUUUGGCAUAAUUUCGGAUCGGAUGAUGGUAUAGGAAAAGUAAAGUAAAAUGCAGAAGAAGAGAAAAAAAAAAUCCUAUGAUGGCAAUUUGUUGUACCACAUUUUAAACCCAGAGCUGUCCUAGGCUAGGCGGACAUAAAAAUUGGACACGAAUGAAUUUAAAUUUUAUUUAUUUAUAUUUUGAUUCAAUCAUGUAUUUGAAUUUCAGUAUACCUUAUUUGUAUGUAUACAAAUAAGUAAAAUUCAAAUACAUGAUUAGGGGUCAAAAUACAAAUAAACUAAAUUCAAAUACACUCGUGUUCAAUUUUCAUGUCCAGUUAGAGUUUUUGUUAAGUCCAAUAAAAAAAGAAUUAAAAUUGAUAUUUUUACAAGACUCCACUCACAUGAAUAAUUAUUGUGAGAUUUGCGUAUUAGAUUUCUUGGAAUCAGGAUUCUCAAAAAUCAUAUAUGAAAUGUUAAACAUAAAUAAAGUGCACAUUCUUUAAAAUAAAAACUAAGUUUUGGUAGUCUAAAUUAUUUUAAAUCUUGUGUUGAGCCAAAAAGGAUAAUAAUAAUAAUAAUAAUGAAAGUGAAAGUGAAAAUGAAAAUGGAGUAUGAAUUUUAUUUUGUUUUGUAUAUGGUAAGAAUGGAUGGAUUAAUUAAGAUUGAGAGAUACCCUUCUUCUUAAUUAGUACAAUCCCAUUUUGCCAUUUAUGAAUCAUGUGAUCCUAUUAUGGUGUAUGAAUUUUAUUUUGUUUUGUUUUUCACAGACCACGUCGAAGCGCCUUGCCGAGAGGAAGAAUGCCAAGUUUGAGAAGAACAUAAGCAGGAGAGGAUCGGGUGCUGAGAACUCACUGAGGAAAAAACUCACUGUCGAGAACAUUGUUCUUGUGUUCUUCGCCUUGCUUAUCGUCGGAUCAUGUAGGUUUUUACAUUAUUUAUUUACAUCUUUGAUUAUUAGCAUUAUAUAAUCUGGUCCUUACACUUUGACUCUCCUUUUUUUUUAAAAAAAAAAAAUUAAUUCAAUUUGCGAAAUUUUAAAAUUCAAAAAUAAUAUGAACUCGUUUAAGCUUUGAAAAUAAAAAAUAUGGUACUUUUUAGUUUAGUUUAGUUUAUGCUUAAAUAUGAUUUACUAUCCUAAACUAUAGGUCAUAUUUCAUUUCGGUGAUUCACCUUUUAAUUUUGUCAAUUAGAUAAUUAAACUAUUAAUUUUUUUCACUUCAGUCCAAUUUAAGUUGCCACGUCAUAAAUUGAUGACGUGACACGCUGACUAAGCAAACUAAUGCCUAUGUGUAAUUAAAAAAUAUUAUUUUAAUUAUAUUUUCUAAACAUCAAGGGUAAAUAUGUCAAAUCAUAAAUAAUAUAAAUUAUAAAAUCAUAAGAUAUAUAAAAUUAACAUUAAUAAUCAAGCAAAUUACAGGAUAAUUACACAAGUAACUUGACUUUAAAAAUUACACAACAAACAUAAAUUAAACUUAAUAAAUUAACAAUUAAACUAAACUAAACUAAACUAAAAUACAAUUAAACAAAAUAUACAACAAGAUCUGGUAAACCCCAACCCAGUUUCCGGCAAGACCAAUUCAAACAAGGAGCAACAUCCAAAUCCCCCAACACAGGCAAACAUCAAGAUCUGAAAUUAAAACCCCAAUCCAAAAAAUCCAUUUAUUCUAACAGAUCAUAACUUCAAACAGAGAAGAGAUGGUGAGACGUAAAGAGGAAAGGGAGGGGAGAUCAAGUGGAGAUGCCAUCGCCGGAGAAGUCCAAACCAGAUCCAAAACCGCCAUCGCCGGAGAUUCAACAGUGCUGCUUCGGCUAGGGCUCCGGUUGUUAUUUUCGGCGCCAGCGUGUACCGAAGCUUCACCAUGUCCCCUCCUUCAUCUUCAAACAAAACCGAAGCUCCUCCUCCAUCACCAUGUCCCCUCCUUCAUCUUCUCUCCAAAACCACCACCACCAUAACCAACAAUUUCAACCAUCACAACAAAAAACCCUCAUCAAUUUUGUCGUACCUCAUCAGCUCUGAAUCGAAAACCUCCGCCGUCCAUUACCUGCACAUGCCAUGGUUGUCGGUGAAAGAAAGAAAUCAAAGGAUAACAACACAAACCAAUCUGAAUAUGCACACAAUCCAAGAUUUUGAAACUAAUACGAGAUCAGAUCAAAAACAAAAAUCACGGGAAACCAUAUCGGUAAAAGAAACCCAAUCGAAAACUAAACUAAGAAAAUCAGAAAACAAAACAUGAAUCCCCGAUCGGGAAGAAACCUUGAUCAGCCGGACCAAGUCAAGAUCAAAACCCAGAAUCAAAACCACCGGAAUAAUAGGAAACCUCGUUGUCGGAAACCUCCAUUGAGAGCGAUGGACUGGAGGGAGGCUUCGGUUGAGCUAGGGUUUGCGAUUUGGGGCUUUUGUGUUCGAUCGAUCGAUUGUUGAUUAUCUUCAGUUCUUCGCCCAAGUCCGGUUGAUCUAAGUUUUUUCUAUUGAGAAUUGGGGGAGAGAUGUGAUCGACGAAUUUGAUUUUAGAGUGUCUGAUAUGUUUUUUUUAUUUUAAUUAGGGCUUGACAAUUUUGCCCAUGCUGAUAAAAUGAUUAGAUUAUGUAAUGAAUAAUAAAUUAUUUAUUUGCCACGUAAGUUUGUUAAGACUCCACUUCAAUUAGCCACGUCAGCAAUUUCUGACGUGGCGUGUUCAAUUUUUUCAAUUGAAAAAAAUUGAUAGUUUAAACACUUAAUUGACAAAAUUGAAAGGUGGAUCACCGAAGUGAAAUAUGUCCUAUAAUUUAGGAUACUAAUUUAUAUUUAAGCCUUUAGUUUAUAAUAGGUAUAUAGUUCUUUACUAAAAUUAAAUAUAUUCGUAUGGACUCUGAAUUGAAUAUUUUGACCUCAAUGUUAAUCUUGUAUUUCAAGCCCAUAGAUGAUUAGGCUGUUGUAACUUUUAUUGAAUUUGUAAUUUAUUUAAGAAAAUAAUUGCCAGAAUUUCACUCUAUGUUUUUUUUCUUUUUUUUAUUUGGUAGUUGUGUUUCAGAUAAUCAAGCUAGCAAUAAUGGCAGAAUAGAGUGAGGAAGAUGUAUCGGCUGGAUAUGAAGUUUCUGCCCUGGACAGUAGCAUUAUUUAUAUAAAAAAUAAAUGGUACCUUUUGAAUGAUCUACUAAACAUAAUUUUGGUGUUUUGUGUUUUGGCUAGCACUUGUUUCUUUUGUGAACACAAGAUGUAAGCUUUUUAACCAUUUAAUACAUCAUAUUUUAACAUUCUUCUUAAUAUUAUAUUUUUAAAAG